UUAAGCGACUAAGCGUACACGGUGGAUGCCCUGGCAGUCAGAGGCGAUGAAGGACGUGCUAAUCUGCGAAAAGCGUCGGUAAGGUGAUAUGAACCGUUAUAACCGGCGAUGUCCGAAUGGGGAAACCCAGUGCAAUUCGUUGCACUAUCGUUAACUGAAUACAUAGGUUAACGAGGCGAACCGGGGGAACUGAAACAUCUAAGUACCCCGAGGAAAAGAAAUCAACCGAGAUUCCCCCAGUAGCGGCGAGCGAACGGGGAGCAGCCCAGAGUCUGAAUCAGCUUGUGUGUUAGUGGAACGGUCUGGAAAGUCCGACGGUACAGGGUGAUAGUCCCGUACACCAAAAUGCACAGGCUGUGAACUCGAAGAGUAGGGCGGGACACGUGGUAUCCUGUCUGAAUAUGGGGGGACCAUCCUCCAAGGCUAAAUACUCCUGACUGACCGAUAGUGAACCAGUACCGUGAGGGAAAGGCGAAAAGAACCCCGGCGAGGGGAGUGAAAAAGAACCUGAAACCGUGUACGUACAAGCAGUGGGAGCACCUUCGGGUGUGACUGCGUACCUUUUGUAUAAUGGGUCAGCGACUUAUAUUCUGUAGCAAGGUUAACCGUAUAGGGGAGCCGCAGGGAAACCGAGUCUUAACUGGGCGUUAAGUUGCAGGGUAUAGACCCGAAACCCGGUGAUCUAGCCAUGGGCAGGUUGAAGGUUGGGUAACACUAACUGGAGGACCGAACCGACUAAUGUUGAAAAAUUAGCGGAUGACUUGUGGCUGGGGGUGAAAGGCCAAUCAAACCGGGAGAUAGCUGGUUCUCCCCGAAAGCUAUUUAGGUAGCGCCUCGUGAAUUCAUCUUCGGGGGUAGAGCACUGUUUCGGCUAGGGGGUCAUCCCGACUUACCAACCCGAUGCAAACUACGAAUACCGAAGAAUGUUAUCACGGGAGACACACGGCGGGUGCUAACGUCCGUCGUGAAGAGGGAAACAACCCAGACCGCCAGCUAAGGUCCCAAAGUCAUGGUUAAGUGGGAAACGAUGUGGGAAGGCACAGACAGCCAGGAUGUUGGCUUAGAAGCAGCCAUCAUUUAAAGAAAGCGUAAUAGCUCACUGGUCGAGUCGGCCUGCGCGGAAGAUGUAACGGGGCUAAACCAUGCACCGAAGCUGCGGCAGCGACACUAUGUGUUGUUGGGUAGGGGAGCGUUCUGUAAGCCUGCGAAGGUGACCUGUGAGGGUUGCUGGAGGUAUCAGAAGUGCGAAUGCUGACAUAAGUAACGAUAAAGCGGGUGAAAAGCCCGCUCGCCGGAAGACCAAGGGUUCCUGUCCAACGUUAAUCGGGGCAGGGUGAGUCGACCCCUAAGGCGAGGCCGAAAGGCGUAGUCGAUGGGAAACAGGUUAAUAUUCCUGUACUUGGUGUUACUGCGAAGGGGGGACGGAGAAGGCUAUGUUAGCCGGGCGACGGUUGUCCCGGUUUAAGCAUGUAGGCUGGUUGUCCAGGCAAAUCCGGAUAAUCAAGGCUGAGGUGUGAUGACGAGGCACUACGGUGCUGAAGUAACAAAUGCCCUGCUUCCAGGAAAAGCCUCUAAGCAUCAGGUAACAUUAAAUCGUACCCCAAACCGACACAGGUGGUCAGGUAGAGAAUACCAAGGCGCUUGAGAGAACUCGGGUGAAGGAACUAGGCAAAAUGGUGCCGUAACUUCGGGAGAAGGCACGCUGGUGUGUAGGUGAAGUCCCUGCGGAUGGAGCUGAGACCAGUCGAAGAUACCAGCUGGCUGCAACUGUUUAUUAAAAACACAGCACUGUGCAAACACGAAAGUGGACGUAUACGGUGUGACGCCUGCCCGGUGCCGGAAGGUUAAUUGAUGGGGUUAUCCGUAAGGAGAAGCUCUUGAUCGAAGCCCCGGUAAACGGCGGCCGUAACUAUAACGGUCCUAAGGUAGCGAAAUUCCUUGUCGGGUAAGUUCCGACCUGCACGAAUGGCGUAAUGAUGGCCAGGCUGUCUCCACCCGAGACUCAGUGAAAUUGAACUCGCUGUGAAGAUGCAGUGUACCCGCGGCAAGACGGAAAGACCCCGUGAACCUUUACUAUAGCUUGACACUGAACAUUGAGCCUUGAUGUGUAGGAUAGGUGGGAGGCUUUGAAGCGUGGACGCCAGUCUGCGUGGAGCCAACCUUGAAAUACCACCCUUUAAUGUUUGAUGUUCUAACGUUGGCCCCUGACCGGGGUUGCGGACAGUGUCUGGUGGGUAGUUUGACUGGGGCGGUCUCCUCCCAAAGCGUAACGGAGGAGCACGAAGGUUAGCUAAUCCUGGUCGGACAUCAGGAGGUUAGUGCAAUGGCAUAAGCUAGCUUGACUGCGAGCGUGACGGCGCGAGCAGGUGCGAAAGCAGGUCAUAGUGAUCCGGUGGUUCUGAAUGGAAGGGCCAUCGCUCAACGGAUAAAAGGUACUCCGGGGAUAACAGGCUGAUACCGCCCAAGAGUUCAUAUCGACGGCGGUGUUUGGCACCUCGAUGUCGGCUCAUCACAUCCUGGGGCUGAAGUAGGUCCCAAGGGUAUGGCUGUUCGCCAUUUAAAGUGGUACGCGAGCUGGGUUUAGAACGUCGUGAGACAGUUCGGUCCCUAUCUGCCGUGGGCGCUGGAGAAUUGAGGGGGGCUGCUCCUAGUACGAGAGGACCGGAGUGGACGCAUCACUGGUGUUCGGGUUGUCAUGCCAAUGGCACUGCCCGGUAGCUAAAUGCGGAAGAGAUAAGUGCUGAAAGCAUCUAAGCACGAAACUUGCCCCGAGAUGAGUUCUCCCUGAGACUUUAAGUCUCCUGAAGGAACGUUGAAGACGACGACGUUGAUAGGCCGGGUGUGUAAGCGCAGCGAUGCGUUGAGCUAACCGGUACUAAUGAACCGUGAGGCUUAACCU
rnacentral:rRNA from 1 species